UGUAGUUUUCGCCUGUCCAGGACGCCUUCACCCCUGCUUCCUUUGAGAAAAGUCCCUCUCCCACUCCAAGUGGUACUGACGGGGAUCACCCACACAAAAGAAACCUGGAGGCUCCCCUCCUGGGGCACCCGGCUUCUGCUCCAACCAGGUUUCAACAGAAAAUGAGAAAUAUCCCCCGACGAUUGGCUGAAAACAUGCAGCAACCACUAUUUUCUUCCUGCCCCUCGUUGAUGAGAGCAUUCGAAGUGACCUCAGCAGGGCAUCCAGGUCAGUUUCUGGAAGACUUGUGUGUGUGAUGAAUGAAUAUCUGGUUUUGUCUCUGCUGGGCCUGUGUGCCUGGAAAGGAAUUGUUUUGGCCUAGGAUCAUCCAGGUUUGUUUGGUUUAGUUCUUGACCACAUAUUUUUUGAAUGGUGACUGCUUAAGACCCUGUUGUGUAUGGCUAUAAAUAGAUACACGCCAAGGUGACCACAUACUCUGUGGUUCCUGUGCCCGCCGGCCAUGUGUCUGAGUGUGUAGCCUCUCAUCAUCUAAAGGAACUUUGGCUGCAGAGGGGAGGCCUGGUCCCAUGGGAAGUUUUGGGAGCGCAGCAGCAGGUGGGUUCAAACGACCCAGCAAGUGCCUCCUUAGCACUUAGAGGCGGAGGCCACCACGUUGUCCACGUGGGGUUUCUGAUCCCAGCUCCCCACCAGCCUGCUGGACCUCGGGCAGGUCCCUCCCUGUUUGUACCUCCAUUACUUCUUCAGUAAGAUGGGGACACUGAAGAUGACCAUGCCUCCCACCAGAUU
ensembl:lncRNA SNHG20 small nucleolar RNA host gene 20